UAUAUCUUGGUGUAUGAUGCACAACGGCUUUUGAUGCUUGUAGGUGAUAGUUUAAUUCUGUUAGAUGUAA
rnacentral:tRNA from 1 species